rnacentral:tmRNA from 1 species
ACGGAAUUGGUGGUUUCUAACCUGUUCCGUCACGAAAACCAAGUAGAAACUAAGCAUGUAGAAAGCUCAUUAGUUCCACGUUUGGACGAGGGUUCAAACCCCUCCAGCUCCACUU